AACACUGGAAUAAGGUUACAAAGGCAACAAAAGGCAGCUCAGUGGGAAUGGGGAACACACACUGAACACAGCUGUGACAAAUUAAAUUAAAAAACACUAAUAAUGAAUGCAAUUACUAGCAAAUGGUGGAUGUAAAAUAGACACAGUUAGCACUGAGCAGGAAAGAUAUUUAGAAUGGAAGGAGGAGGGUUGGCCUUUAGUUUCAGGACCAUGGACAGCAAACAGAAGGACUAUAAGCGGUCCUUUCUAGAUUGGAAUUCCCGCUCUUCCUAAUCUUGGAUUCUCUCUUAAUGUUUAGGCCAGGGGUCCUCAAACUUUUAAAGCAGAGGGCCGGUCCACAAUCCUUCAGACUGUUGAGGGGCCGAAUUAUCAUUUGGAGAAAAAAACCGAACAAAUUCCUAUGCACACUGCACAUGUCUUAUUUGUAGUGCAAAAAACAACAAUAACAAUGAAAGAACAAUACAAUAUUUAAAAAUGAAAAUAAUUCUAACCAACAUAAACCUAUCAGGAUUUCAAUAGGAAGUGUGAGCCUGCUUCUGGCCAAUGAGAUAGUCAGGUUAAUUAGGAUUGUUGUUGUUGUGUGUCUUCAAGUCAUUUCAGACUUUGGGCGAGCCGAAGUCCAAAAUUAUUUAUUUAUUUAUUUACUACAUUUAUUUACUACAUUUAUAUCCCACUGUUCUCACCCCGGAGGGAACUCAGAGCAGCUGUAAUACAUACAAUAUAUUAUAUCAUUAGCAUAGCACAAUAUUAGCAUUAUACUAUAUUGAACUAUACCACUAUACUGUAAUAUUAUAUGUAAUAUAUAACAUAUAAUUAAUAUUAUUAUAUGGCAUUAUUGUUAGUAUUAUAUUGUAUAAAAUGAUAAUAUUAUUAUCAAUAUUACAUGUAUAUACAAUAUAUUAUAUUAUUAAAACUGAUAUAAAAAUAUUAUAUUAUAAAUGAGGGCGGGGGCCAGGUAAAUUACCUUGGAGGGCCACAUCCGGCCCCCGAGCCUUAGUUUGGGGACCCCUGGUUUAGGCGAAUCCAUUGCUCCGUGUUGUAGUCCCUAAAGUAAAGCAGCAGCUAUCACAUAUACAAGUCGAAUCACCCAAUCUGUAUGGAAAAAGUCACACGAGAAAGGACAAAGACCCACCCCGAGGAAAAGUGUUCUUGCCAUACUUCAAGGGAACCACUGGCCACAAAGGGAAGCUGAUGAAGAAACACAACCUACAAACUAUCUACAGACCCACGAAGAAAAUAAAGAACAGCACUCAGAAAACAGGGGAAUUCCAGGCUGGAAACAAUCAGGGCCAGCUAACACCUCCCAACAAAGGAUUCCCCCAGGCAGGAAGCAGCCAGGUGUUGAAUCUGCAAGGCUAUUCAAUGCUAAUUAAGGUGGCCAGAGUCACCAUUCACUCUAUGGAGCCCCUGAUGGCAUAGUGGGUUAAAGCCUUGUGACUUGAAGGUUGACUUGAAGCAAAGGCUGAGUUUGUGCAAAAUAAAUAAAUAAAUAAAUAAAAUUCCAGCAAUGUUAUUCUUUUAUCAUUUGGAGGCAUGGCCUGAUGCUCCAAAGGGCGGGAUAUAAAUGUAUUAAAUAAAUAAAUAAAUAAAUAAAUAAAUAAUUUUCCUACUUUUUCUUGUGUGCAAGGCAAAGGCUGAGUUUGUGCAAAAUAAAUAAAUAAAUAAAUAAAAUUCCAGCAAUGUUUUCUUUUAUCAUUUGGAGGCAUGGCCUGAUGCUCCAAAGGGCGGGAUAUAAAUGUAUUAAAUAAUACCUUGUUUCCCCAAAAAUAAGACAGUGUCGUAUAUUAAUUUUUGCUCCCAAAGAGGCGCUAGGUCUUAUUUUCAGGGGAUGUCUUAUUUUUCCACAAAGAAAAAUUCACGUUUAUGGUUGAAUGUUUAAAAAAUGAAAAUUUAUUAUCUACUGUACAGUAGUUGUCAUCACAAACCAGCAUAACCAAACUGUGAAUCCUUUCAAGAAUUUCUAUAUUAUAUUUUAUUGCUAUACUGUUUUUAAAUUACUGUUUUAAAUUUCUGUUCAUAUGUAAAUUUAUGUUGUUGUUGGGCUUGUCCCUGUGUAAGCUGCCCUGAGUCCCUUCUGGGAGAUGGAGGUGGGAUACAAGAAUAAAGUUAUUAUAUUAUUAUUAUUAUUAUUAUUUCUUGUUCCUACCUUUAUUUCCAUGUACAACAAUCCUGCAUGCUUCCAAACAAAAACUUUGCUAGGUCUUACUUUCAGGAGAGGCCUUAUAUUUAGCAACUAGCUGUGCCCGGCCACGCGUUGCUGUGGCAAAGUAUGGUGGUAUGGGAAAUAAAGUAUUGAAGAAUUGGUGGUAGUUAAGGUAAAGGGUAAAGGUUUUCUCCUGACAUUAAGUCCAGUUGUGUCCGACUGCACACUGAAGUGGAUUAUAUGGCAGUGUGGAGUCAAGAUAAUCCAGUUCAAAGCAGAUAAUAUGAGAUUAUAAAUGGAUUAUAUAGCUGUGUGGAAGGGCCCUUGAGUCUACACUGCCAUAUAAUCCAGUUCAAAUCAGAUAAUCUGUAUUUUAUAGGCAGUGUGGAAGAGGCCUAAGUGAGGCCUAACUCUUCCUGUCCCCUGGGCUGCGUGGGUUGCUAGGAGACCAAGUGGGCGGAGCUUAGCCUUCUAACUGGCAGCAAUUGGAUAAAAACAAUUAUUCCUCUCCCUCUAAUUAGGACUUUAUUUUUCUUUUGUUUUUUGUUGUAUGAACAUAGAGGCAUGGAUGAGGGGUUGUGCUGCCAAGUUUAGUGUUUCUGGGAUGUGUAGUUUUGUUGUUUUGUCCUAGGCCGAAAUUUCAUUACCUUUUUAUAUAGAUAGAUUCAGCAAAACCUCUACUAGGUCUUAUUUUUCUGGGGAUGUGUUAUUUUCAGGGAAACAGGGUAAAUAAAUAAAUAAAUAAAUAAAUUUCCUACUUUUUCUUGUGUGCAAGGCAAAGGCCGAGUUUGUGCAAAAUAAAUAAAUAAAUAAAAUUCCAGCAAUGUUUUUCUUUUAUCAUUUGGAGGCAUGGCCUGAUGCUCCGGCACAUGCCACGGAAGUUCUCCGAUUGCCACCUGGUGGUGCCCAGCCUGCUCAACAGUGAGUAAGGAGUAGAAGCCAUGCCCUAGGAGAUGUUCCACAGGGAGAAAAAGACACACACACACACACACACACACAGCAUGCAUUGCAUCUUUUGGCAGCCGUGCUUGGCAACCGACCUUGGGCUGUCCUUGCAGGGAACGCCAAGGCUGGCUGGGCCUGGAGCCCCCUCGACAAGGAAAGCAAUUCAGCAGGAAAAGAAAAAUAGGAGCGGAGUCACUCGGCACCCAUCAUGGGAAGCAAAGCUAACGGGAACAGGCAGGAGCAUUCAACAUCUAUCUCUGACUGUUUUAGAUAAACAGUUUUACCAUCCUUGUGGAAGGCUUCUCUCAUGUCCCCACAUGGAGCUGGAGCUAACAGAGGGAGCUCAUCCGCACUCUCCCCGGGUUGGAUUCGAACCUGGCAGCCUUCAGGUCAGCAACCCAACCUUCAAGUCGCAAGGCUUUAACCCACUACACCACCGGUGGCAUCUCCUGGGCAACGUCCUUGCAGACAGCCCAUUCUCUCACACCAGAAGCGACUUGCAGUUUCUCAAGUCGCUCCUGACAUGAAAAAAAAGAUAAACAGUAGAUUUUGUUUCUCUAAGGAUUCCUCUUUCUUUACCAACAGCAUUUGUUGCCUUUUCUAUAACGAAGAAUAUCUGUGGAACACCUUUUGAAUAUCUGCAUUAUCAGCAAUUAUCUCUUUCCCCUCUUGUAUCUUUAUUUCUCUCUCUCUCUCUGUUUCUUUUUAUAACUUAAACGCCAACAAUCUCCCUGGCAUAUUUGCAAAUUCAACGUUCUUUGGCUUUUGCAUAAUGCAUUUUUUUUUCUCUCGAUCUCAAGUCACAGUUAGCACUGAUAGCCGUCUCUGUAAAAUUUUAAUAUAUGAUUCAUCACAGCCAUUUUUUGAAGGAGAUUUCUCUAAUUAUUCUACCAGAUGCAUCUUGUAUAUAUUUUGGCAUAAUGAGACACAGGCGGUAUUUAUAUUUUGAGAUACUGAAACCCCAUCUGAUAAUUUCAACUCGGUCUUUUCAUUCACAAUUUUUUUCGAAUAUAUGACUUCCAGUGCUAACUUCAUUAUUUGGAUUUAAAGAGAUUGAUGAUGCACAUAAAUUUUUGCUUAUCUUGCAGAAUGAAGACAGCUUGACGCCACUUUAAAUGGCGUGUCUAAAUGUCAUGGAAACACGGGAGUUGUGGUUUUACAAGGUCGUGAGCCUUCUCUGCCAAACUACAACUCCUAUUCCAACAAAAGAAAAUGACAAGCAAUCUCACAAUUGUGUGUCUCUAUGGCAAGGACAUCCUCUUGCAUCUGCCCUCCAAGGUUUCGUGAGCAAGCAUGCAAAUGACCUGACCGGAGGCUGCUUGGUUUAAAUAUAGGCAGUGCCAGGAGGGCAUCCGGCGUGGCACAUGGAGAAGAGACAAACACAGAGAUGGAAACACCCCUCGAAAACACCGCGAGUUUGCUUCUGAAUUCUUCUGGAGUGGCCACAUGCUCAUAUGCUCAAUGCUUCUUGGCUUGAUGACAAUUAGGGGAGACAAUGUCAGCCAAUUUGUCAUCAGGUGGAUUGCAGGCCUCUCUAAUGCUAUAUAUUCAACGUUCUCAUAGGUGCAAUCUGCACUGAUUCUGGUAGAAUAGAAUCCCACUUACACGACUUCCGCUAAUUAUAAUAUUAUAAUGGAAUACAAUAUUAUACUACUAAUAAUGCAAUAUAAUUAUAUUAAUUAUAUAUUAUAUAUUAAAUGUAAUAUUACUAAUAAUAUUACCAUAUAAUGAUAUAGUACAAUAUAGUAAUUUAAUGCUUAUAUUGUGCUAUGCUAAUAAUAUAUUGUAUGUUCAUUUGAUUUGUAAGCCGCUCUGAGUCCCCUUUGGGGUGAGAAGAGAGGGAUAUAAAUGUAGUAAAUAUUACUAUUUACUAUAAAAUUAUUACUAAUAAUAUUACCAUAUAAUGAUAUAGUACAAUAUAGUAAUUUAAUGCUUAUAUUGUGCUAUGCUAAUAAUAUAUUGUAUGUUCAUUUGAUUUGUAACCUGCUCUGAGUUCUCACCGCGGGGUAAGAAGAGCGGGAUAUAAAUGUAGUAAAUAUUACUAUUUACUAUAAAAUUAUUACUAAUAAUAUUACCAUAUAAUGAUAUAGUACAAUAUAGUAAUUUAAUGUUCAUAUUGCGUUAUGCUAAUAAUAUAUUGUAUGUUCAUUUGAUUUGUAAGCCGCUCUGAGUCCUCUUCGGGGUAAGAAGAGCAGGAUAUAAAUGUAGUAAAUAAAUAUUACUAAUAAUAUUACCAUAUAA